rnacentral:lncRNA from 1 species
UGAUGUUUGAGCCCCAGCAUAGAUCAGCAUGCCAGGAAGCAGCCCACCGGACCCACCCCUGAUCAUGGCACUGGACAUUGUUUUCCGUGCUUUUCUCAGGCUGGUUUCUGCCUGUCCCAACCCUGGCCAUGGCUGACAAGGGGCCCAGGGACACUGGAGCAGAGAGACCUGCUGGUCCUUGGGGUUUCUUGCAAGGUAGGACUCUACAUCCUCCCUUGGGAACUAAUUGAUCUGUCAGUAAAAUGUAAACUUCUGACUCCAUGGGUCUGUGAAUCAGCUGCCUCUAAAGGGAAAUAUCCCAGGAGUGAUGAAAACUUGAAGAUCGAGGAUUGGAUAUAAGCUCAGAGGUGAAGGAGGGAAAUUCCUCGGGUCAACUUUAGCGGACUGAUCCACGGGGUCUGCCAAGAGACAGGAGCUCGAGGGUUAAACCCAAGCACUCGGGAGUCAGAUGUAUGAAUCUGAAUCUCAGCCUCUCGGCUUGCUGUGUAAUCUCAGGCAAGUGACUUUUCUGUUCUGUAAAUCAGGCUGAUAGCGGGGGAACCUCUCUCACAGGGCUGCUACAAAGAUUGCAUGAGAUUUUGCUCAACAAAUAUUAGCUGUUGGCUCCAGAGUUUAAUACCUCUGAUCACUACAAGCUUUGAAGGCAAGAUAAAAUAACUUCAACAUAGUGAAUCAUCUGUGAACACUUCCUGUGAACGUGUGACUAUGAUUAUGGAACACUCUGUUGCAUCAAGAUGGCCAGAGAUUGUCUCAGAGUCCAGGCAGUGGGAGGAGGGGGGAUUUGUUUCCUGGCUGGGUGGUCGUAGGGCAUCAAGGGAUGAGCAGCUUUGGUUGUCUGGGAUUUCAGCAGCUUGAGGGGAGCUGUAGGGCCCCAGAGCUGUCGCUGUGGCUGUGGUGUCAGAAAUGUAAGCAAGGUGCCUCCAUGGAGGUUAGCGAGGGUGCCCCUCUGAAUGCCGGGUGGAAUGCAACCUUUCGCAUGGAGGAGGCCCUCAGCAGCUGACCUCUGUCUUCCCUGUGUAGAGGGAGGGAGGCUGAGGCUGGGGCUGAGCGAGGGGUAAAGUAAGCCACGUGUCUCAUCAGCUAGCCUGCAGCAAGCACAGCCCUCUGGGAGGGCUGGUUCUAUCCUCCUCCUUGGUGUGAAAUCCAUCAAUCUAAUAGGGAUCCUUAUUUUCCCAGCCACCAAGUCACAAUGAGCAAUAAUCUC